UGUGUGUAUCUAUAUAUAUAGGACUGUGGCUAGUCUUGGAGGAGUUAAUCAGUUAAACAUUGGAAAUGAAUGAAAAUUAGAAGCAGAAUUUUUCUUUUCUUUUUUUUUCCUUGAUUUAGGGGAGAUUUGGAAGUGGCCUGAUCCAGUUGUUGUUUUUUAAAAACAUUUUAUGUUUCACUUCCUUUCUUCGAGCAACUAUCUAGGGGGGAUCCUCACAUACAAUAAAUAAAUGAGCCCCUAGCUGAGUUCAGGAUGGAAUAGGGAGUGUGGAUCCCUUUUCUCCAGUCUCUGUGAUGCUGAGUCACUACUGUGGAACUUCUAGGGCCUCACCAGCCAUAUGUACAAACCAGCCAGUGGCAAGGCUGGGACCUGAAUGCUUGGCAAACAUUAUACAACUGAACUUCUCUAAAUAGUCUAAAAAUUAUGUUUAUACUUGUGAACAUUAUAAUGUUUAUCUUUUUCCUCUUCCACUCAAUAUAGGAUAUAUGGAAGGCUGAUUUGGGUAUCUUUUUUUUUCACGGAAACAAUUUCAAAGACUAUUCAUCCACUUAAUUACUAAUAUUUCACAUGACUUGUAGUUUUUCAGAGGAUCUUUCCCUAUGAAUGAUCACUCUAUUUCUUGAUUUUUAGUCUCUGCCAAAUGAAGUUUUCCUUUCCUUCUGGCUUAGAAUGCAGUUCAUUUCUAUUUCCAGAAUCAUAUUACAUUUCACUGGCUGAUCAAACUUAACUCUUUGUGUCCAUCUGAGGGUGACAUAGGGUAGUUCUCUUACAUCAGCAUUAAAAUGGUGCCAAAUGCAAUAGUAUCUAGUUAAAUAUUGGAUCACUCAACAAACCCAGGAUACAUGUUUAAUUCCCAGGUUAGAACAAGUCCACACUAGAGUCCUUAUCCUUUUACCAUAAAGUCCUAGCUCUUCAUGUGGUGAGCAUGAUUCUUUACUACACACCCUCGCUACUUCUCAAUCUAUAAUUUGAAAUCAUGUUCAAAGUUGUCUUACUUCAUCAAAGACGCCACAAUGCCUAAUCUUGUUAUGUCUUCACAAAUGCUGUUCUCUGUGCCUUGCAGGCUCUCACAUGUCCCUAUAUUAAAUGUCUCUUCCCCCCUUAAAACAUUGGCUCAGCAGUCCCACUUCUUUUUUUUUUUUCCCACUUUUAUUUUUAAUAGAGAAUUGUUUCUCUUCCCUUUCUUUUUCCUUGAUAAUCUACUUCUUUAUUGCUUAUUUGCUACAUACAUCUUUUUGCCAUUGCACAGUAUUGUAAAUAUGUAUACAUAGACUCUGCCUCUACCCAAUAUAUUCACAUAUAUAAACUCACUUAAUCUUCACAGCUCAGUGGGAGCAGGAUUAUCAUCGUCUCCAUUUUACAGAUGAAAAAGCUGAGGUACAAAGAGGUUUACAAAGUUAGUUGGGAUCUGAAUCCAGGCAGGCAGGUUCCAGAGAUUAUAUAUACUAUGAUGCCUCUUGACAUCAUAGGCUCCAUGAAAGGGCGGAGAAUGUCUUACUGCUUCGGUAGUUGAACCAAAUUUAAUAUGGCGCAUACAGUUUCCAUUACUGCUAAUUGGAAGAGCAGCGGUAUCUUUAUGUGGGAUGCUCUUGUUUUCCCAAAGGGAUGCUAAUAUUCUGGCAACUCUAAAGCCUUCCAUGAACUUGAAUGGCAACAGUGAAAACAAUCUCUAUGCCUUCACUUAGAGAGAGAGGAUCACAGCUAUCUAGCCAAGUAGAUGCUUCUUGGCUUACAUAACAUUUUUUCUAAUACCUUUUAUCACACGCUACCCCAUAUGCAUGUGUUUAAUGAAACUGAUAGUACUGCCUCUUCCUUACGGUCACCCUCCAGUUCUGCUCCUCAAGCAGAUUGGAGAAAAGUAUUUUCUUUGAUUCCAGGAGAUGAAUGGACUUGACUUAUCAAUAUUUGCCUGCUACGUGCCUAAUGUCACUUUGGCUACCGGAGGAAUUUUGUCUGGGUAGAUUUCCCACUCGAGUCACUUAAAAAAUGGUGGUAGGGUCCUUGAAUAUUAACUAACAAAGAUUCCAAGGAAAAUAAGACCCUGGCUUGAGGGCAUAUGCAGUGACCUGACAAGUCAGCAAAGCAUCCAUGUUGUGCACACCUGUCACAAGGUGUUCAUAACCAGCAUGAUGCUGCUGGUUAGCAAAAGUGGUGUACAGCAAACACGUGGUAGAGAAAAUGGAUAGAAUGUGGACAGAAGUGGAUAGAAUGUGGAUAAAGGUGCUAAAUACACUAGCAAUGCCAAUUAUGAUUUUUCAAAAUUGAGUUGGUCGAGAGUUCAGCAUUCAUGAAAUGCAAAUGUCUGUGAGGUGGUAGAGGUGACCGCUAGUGCUUUUAUUUCUUCAAUUACAAAAUUAAAGGACAAGAUAGAAGAGAGGGUAGAAAAGAAGGAUUCCAGAAAGAAGAACUGGAUAACCAUUAUGGAAAGCAUCUCUGAUAAGUGCGUGUGUGUCUGAGCAUAUGAUAAUCAGAAUAGUACUCGAUUUAUGAUACUCAGGUAUGGGGUUUGAACACACCAUUAAUUCUGAUAUCAAAACCUACUACUGAAUUUUUGUCUUCCUAGUAUAUUUAUAGUAUCCAGGAAAAGAUUUCUCUCCAUUCACUUUCUAGCAAGUGAUUCUACAUAGCGUGUGACUCAUUUUCCAAGGGGAUCCAGUGACUGUACAGCAUUUGGAACAGUUAAAGUUCUUUCCUGGACAACCAGUUAAGGGGCAAUGCAGAAGUGUCUCUGUCCGUAUACUGCCAGUCCAGACUCUUCUUAUAAACUCUUUUCCUAUCAUAUCCUAGCACUUCUUUUUAGCUCCAUUUGAGCAUUUCACAGGCCUCUCAAAGUUUAACAGAUCUCAAAUGCAACUCAAUUCUUGUUCUUCCAAUAAAACAACUAUUUCUUAGGUUCAUUCUUAUUGUUUCAGUAAAUGUGAACAUAUCUACCUAUUGUUCAAGUCAGCAAGCUGAGUAGGUGCAGAGGACUUGCUAAAAGGACUGGGGAAAGAUAUGACAGAAGAAAGCUUGUGAAAGGCCUAUAGGAGAAGGGUGCAGAAAUACAGGACAAACACUGAAGUCUGACCUAAAAUAUGGGAAUGGGCACCUCUUUCCUUCCUAUCCCCAAAUCCACUUUGCAUCCAUUACUAAACCCAGCCUUUUCUAUCCCUGGGAGAGCCCACAAAUGCCUCCGUUUCUUGCUACCCAUCUCUCUAGUCCAAGCCACCGUCCUUUCUUUCAUUUAUUACUGCCUUAUUCUACUUAACUGAGCUCCCCAAUCCUCUCAAACAUUCUAAAAUCCAAAGGUUUACAUUUGAAAUUGGAGUGAUUUUUUUCCCAUGCAAAUCUUAUCAUAUCAUCCUUCAACUUAAAAUUUUUCACUGUUUUCCACUGCCCCCAAAUAAAUACCUUUAAAUGCCUAGCAAGGCUUUGGCAGGACAACCAGGACCAGGCUUUAAUGCUGCAUUGACCCUACCCUGUGACUCUUAACUGGGUGUCGAUUUUGCACUCCAGGGCAUAUUUAGCAAUUUUUGCACAGUUUUGAUUGCCAUGGUCAAGAAUAUGCUACUGGUUUCUAUUCUGUAGAGGCCAGGGAUACCGCUAAAUAUUCUGCAUUACUCAGGACAGUUUUCUCACAACGAAGGAUUACUUGGCCCAAAAUGUCAAUGGUGCAGAAGCUGGUAAACCCUGAAAUCACCUUAGCUCAUGGCCUUUUCCCUUUCGCUCCUUGAUUUCAGUUGUUUGCUACCUUUUUCACUUCCAAGAAUUCACCAUACUUAAUCACAUCUUUAAUUCUAUGUGGUAUUUCUUUUUCCUGGAAUAACUGACACAUUUUUCUCUCUGACUCCUAACCCUUGAUUUGACCAACUCCCCUUAUCCUUACUUUUUGGCUUAGUUACUCACUCAGGGAAGCUUUUCCUGAAACAUCAUAGUAGAGGUGUUUUCUUUGCCACAUGUUUUCAGAGAACUCAGUAUCUUUCCUCAUAAUCACAACUGACAGUUUUCCCAUAAUUGUAUAAAUUCUAUGAGGGUAGAGGCCAUGUUUGUCUCAUUUGCCUGAACUCCAAAGCUUAAUGUAUUGUAAUAUGUCCUUAAGAGUCUCUCUCUCAUAUAUAUAUAUAUAUAUUACAUACCUAUGCAAUAUAUAUUUGAAGUAUUAUUUCAAAUAGCCUCAUUGUGGAGAUUAAGAAGUCUGAAUCUAUCCUUAUGACGUUUUUGUACCAGUAAAAGUUUUCAACAAUCCAUAAUCAGGUCCGAUGUGAAAUCAAAGAGAGAUGAAAAAAUUUCUCUCUUGGAGUUGCAACAAAUUGGUUUGACAUUUGAUAUGUUUAGCCUAGAAAAACAUAUUCUUCUCCCAGAUCCAAAUACAAUUGGAUUUGUAGAUGCCCAUUUCUACCAACAUCUCUUUAUUUAUUUUUUGGCCACACCCAUGAACUCCACAUGCUAUGGAGUGGCCAAAAAAGGGGGAAAAAAGAGAGAGAGAGACAUAAAAGAUAUAAAUGAUAUUUUUUGGAACAGGUGGUCAAGAAUAUCAUUGUAGAUAGAAAAACGAUUGUGUCAAUAUUAAAUAUUCUGAACUUGAUAAAAAAUUAAUGGGCAAGAAAGCAUGAUGAAUAUCACCUACUUUCAAAUGAUUAAAAAUAAGCUAUAUAUAAUGGUUAUAAAUAUAUAUAGGUAUAUAUGUGUACACACACAUGCAGAGGCACAGCGACUACAAAACAAAUGUAGCAAAAAUAAUAAAAUUUGUGAAUGUGGUUAAAAGGUAUAUGAAAGUUCUCCCAAUUCUACUUGCAAUCUUUCUGUAAGUUUGAAAUUGUCUCAAAAUAAAGAGAAAACUGAUAUGGCCUACCACCCGAGAUUUGGUUCAGGGUGCUCUGGAUAUAGUGAGCAGAGGAACCUAGCUCUGUUUCAUAGAGUGGGGAAAAGGUUGAUAAAGUAGUAAUGCCAUUUGCAGCAACAUGGAUGGACCUACAGUUUCUCAUACUAAGGGAAGUAAGUCAGACAGAGAAAGACACAUAGCAUUUAUCGCUUAUAUUUGCAAUCUAGAAAAAAGGAUACACAUGAACUUAUUUACAAAACAGAAACAGACUCACAGACAUAGAAAAAAAAAAA
rnacentral:lncRNA from 1 species